AGAGUAGGAGAAUUUCCAGAGAUUACUCCGGAAUCUCUACUAACUAAUAACUUAAAGACAAGUAAACAAAAUGUUCAGCAAUUGACCUCAGCGAGGCCUGAAUUUCAGUUUCCGCAGAGAACUGUUAGUCAUUCAACUCUGACAAAGAAAACUCUCCACCAUUGCAAGCAUUCACUUUUAGAUGGGACUCAGAUAAUUAGCAAAUCUACCUUCUGCGGCGGUGCUGAGUUCACUGGGGAGCUUGGAGACAAGGCAAGCAGAAGCAAUCGCAUUAUGGAGGGGCAAAAGUGAGCUCAAUUCUCGCCGAACAAAUCUUCCACUUGGAGAAGAAGGGGAAAUUCGGGACUGGCGGAAAGUCAAAUUGGGACGAGUCCAUGAGCGAAUCGAAGCUGAUAAAGGGAUUCUUCCGGUUGCUGAUUCGGUUGCAGUGGUGGCUCUCCAUGUUGCCCGCAUCAAGGUAGAUGUGGAUCUCCCCACAAUUGCCCAAGUCGCCAUUUUCCU
rnacentral:misc_RNA from 1 species